rnacentral:tRNA from 1 species
GGUUUUAUAUUCAAUAAUGAUAUUAGAUUGCAAUUCUAAAGGAGAAAUUAAAUUUUCUAAAACUU